rnacentral:misc_RNA from 1 species
ACCUACUGUUUAAUUUUGAGGGUUCGUUUUUACGAAUACUCAAAAUUAGCACUUUAAGCAACAGAAUAAACUGAACGCAUGUGAAGUUUGUUUGUUGGCGCUGUGCGUUAGCACUUUAAGCAACGGGAUUUAUUCGUUGGCGCUGUGCGUUAGCACUUUGAAAACUGCAUAUAUAUUUAGUGAUAUGACAUCUAAUUUGUAAUAUAUAAAGCUGAUAACUUUUUAAAAUUAUCGAAGUUGAUAGCUUCUAAUCUAUCAAACCUUUUUAACUGGUCAA